rnacentral:piRNA from 1 species
UGUACUUCUCGAGCGUUCUAGGUGCUGC